UUGUCAGCAGCCGCGGUAAUACGAAGGUCCCGAGCGUUGUUCGGAAUCACUGGGCGUAAAGGGAGCGUAGGCGGCGUGGCAAGUCAGACGUGAAAUCCCGGGGCUCAACCCCGGAACUGCGUCCGAUACUGCCGCGCUCAGAGGAUUGGAGAGGUAGCUGGAAUUCUUGGUGUAGCAGUGAAAUGCGUGGAUAUCAAGAGGAACACUCGUGGCGAAAGCGAGCUACUGGACAACUCCUGACGCUGAGGCUCGAAGGCCAGGGUAGCGAAAGGGAUUAGAUACCCUCGUAGUCC
rnacentral:rRNA from 1 species